UACGAAGGGGGCUAGCGUUGCUCGGAAUCACUGGGCGUAAAGCGCACGUAGGCGGGUCGUUAAGUCGGGGGUGAAAUCCUGGAGCUCAACUCCAGAACUGCCUUCGAUACUGGCGAUCUUGAGUCUGGGAGAGGUGAGUGGAACUCCGAGUGUAGAGGUGAAAUUCGUAGAUAUUCGGAAGAACACCAGUGGCGAAGGCGGCUCACUGGCCCGGUACUGACACUGAAAAGCGAAAGCCAGGGGAGCAAACGGG
rnacentral:rRNA from 1 species